UUCUUUGAUCUGCUGACUGGACCUGAGAUCCUGUUCCUGACUGGACUGACACAUGGACUGUUUGUUCAUUUGAAAAUAGAAGAGUUGACUUCUACUUCUAAAAGAAAACUGGUGCUAUGAUUACAAAGGUUAUAAAAUGUGCAGUCCUCCAGUUGAAGAGGCAUGGACUGGGAGCUGCCAAAAUAAGGACAAUCCCCAAUUAACACUCUGAGCACAAGAGUCAAGAAUCUUCCCUCACUGGGUCGUUUGAGGUUCAAGAACUAUGAAAUGAAGAAUGUAAGGCCUAUUAAAAACAAUGGGUU